rnacentral:rRNA from 1 species
AAUGAACGCUGGCGGCGUGCCUAACACAUGCAAGUUGAGCGGUAAGGCCCCUUCGGGGGUACACGAGCAGCGAACGGGUGAGUAUCGCGUGGGUAACCUACCCAGAGGUGGGGGAUAGCCUCGGGAAACCGGGGGUAAUACCGCAUGAGUCCUCGAUGACACAAGUCGACGAGGGGAAAGGCGGGGAUCCUUCGGGACCUGUCGCCUCUGGAUGGGCCCGCGUCCGAUUAGCUAGUUGGUAGGGUAAUGGCCUACCAAGGCGACGAUCGGUAGCCGGCCUGAGAGGGUGAACGGCCACAUUGGGACUGAGACACGGCCCAGACUCCUACGGGAGGCAGCAGUGGGGAAUUUUGGGCAAUGGGGGAAACCCUGACCCAGCGACGCCGCGUGGAGGAUGACGGCCUUCGGGUUGUAAACUCCUGUCAGGUGGGAAGAAGAGCCAGUCGGUUAAUACCCGGCUGGAGU